UUGAAAAUGCCGUCAGAGACUGAAAUGACACGCAAAUGUUGAACGAAACAAAUGUUCAACACGGCUGCAAAACGAAAAGAGAGUGUGCUACAACAGGGGCGCAGGCAAGGGCAGCGUGUCCAUGCUAAGGGAGCGCGGCUGCAGCAUGCAAAAAGCCGGCAGAUAACAAAGCAAAGCACAGAGCGAAGCGCGCAAAGAGCAAGAGUAAGAGUAAAGUGACAAGCAUUUUGCCAGCCAAAAAGAGCAAACAUAUGAUGAUGCUUUUGUUUGUGCUCUUGCCCUUACACUGAAGCGUGCGUUAACUGUUAAUUAUAACUGUAGAAACUAACUUCUGAUUAUUAAAACUAGCAAAAA